UUGGGGGGCCCACGAGGCGCCACACCAUAGUUGGCGCCGAGCAGAAAAAUUUUGAAAAUAUGGAGUCUCUAGAUCGUUGGAAAUGGCAUUUUCAGAGUCUUCUAUACCUUAUACACACAAAUUUUGGUAGCUUUUCUUUAGAUGUACAAAACCAUGUUGUUGAAUACCCACGAGUAAUGAGGUUGCAUGAAAUGAUGUUUUCAUUAUCUAUAUUU